rnacentral:rRNA from 1 species
CAAUCCUACGGGAGGCAGCAGUGGGGGAUAUUGCACAAUGGGGGGAACCCUGAUGCAGCGACGCCGCGUGGGUGAAGAAGCGCCUCGGCGCGUAAAGCCCUGUCAGCAGGGAAGAAAAUGACGGUACCUGAAGAAGAAGCCCCGGCUAACUACGGGCCAGCAGCCGCGGUAAUACGUAGGGGGCAAGCGUUAUCCGGAUUUACUGGGUGUAAAGGGGGCGAAGAAGGAGAUGCAAGCCAGGAGUGAAAG